GUAUAUUAGUGCUUGCGCACAUAAUGGGUCCUCAAUACAUGCGAGUUUGUGUAAAAUCCUCUGCCGGCCGAAGCUAGCAGAGGCCAAAGGUUCACAGGGUAUUGGAUGAAAGUCACCGACGUGCACUUGCCAAAGCCGAAGCCGGCCAGCACUGAAGGCAACCAUUCGCAAUCAUUAAUGAUCCUUCCGCAGGUUCACCUACGGAAA
rnacentral:misc_RNA from 1 species